rnacentral:rRNA from 1 species
UGGGGAAUUUUGGACAAUGGGCGCAAGCCUGAUCCAGCAAUGCCGCGUGCAGGAUGAAGGCCUUCGGGUUGUAAACUGCUUUUGUACGGAACGAAAAGGCUCUGGUUAAUACCUGGGGCACAUGACGGUACCGUAAGAAUAAGCACCGGCUAACUACGUGCCAGCAGCCGCGGUAAUACGUAGGGUGCGAGCGUUAAUCGGAAUUACUGGGCGUAAAGCGUGCGCAGGCGGUAAUGCAAGACAGAUGUGAAAUCCCCGGGCUUAACCUGGGAACUGCAUUUGUGACUGCAUUGCUGGAGUGCGGCAGAGGGGGAUGGAAUUCCGCGUGUAGCAGUGAAAUGCGUAGAUAUGCGGAGGAACACCGAUGGCGAAGGCAAUCCCCUGGGCCUGCACUGACGCUCAUGCACGAAAGCGUGGGGAGCAAACAGGAUUAGAUACCCUGGUAGUCCACGCCCUAAACGAUGUCAACUGGUUGUUGGGGAUUAACUUCCUCAGUAACGAAGCUAACGCGUGAAGUUGACCGCCUGGGGAGUACGGCCGCAAGGUUG